UCAUAAGACAACAGUAACUAACGGAAUAGGCCUACAGUAUAUUUCACAUUUCUACUGUGUCCAUGACAUGGUAAUAUCAUGGUGUCCCCCCUACGAAAAGGCCUCUGUUUACAAGUUAAACUGCAACGAUGCUUGCCCUUUAAACACAAGUUGGAAAUCUACAUAACUGAAGGAACCCACUCCACCGAGGAAGACAUUAACAAGCAAAUCAAUGACAAGGAGAGAGUGGCAGCUGCCAUGGAAAACCCCAACCUCAGAGAGAUAGUGGAGCAGUGUGUCACAGAGCCUGAUGACUGACCCUCAGGGAACAGCUCUGUCUGGAGCUCUGCCUCACACCAGCCUCCCAGAGGAAACCACAGCCAUGUUGGAGGGUUUUACAAUCAGUCUGUGUUCCUGAGGAGAUGUCUGUGGUUGAUCACUGACCUGCUCAUGUGACAUGUGCAUCCAGGGAGGUUCUGCUUCUGUCUCCUGACGGAGGUGGGAUGAGUUUUGUGGUAGACGGUUUACCACCAAACGGCACAUACAAGUAAACUCUCCUGGUUCUUUGAGGUCAUUUAGUCUCUUUUUCAUGUUUCUAACUCUCAUAAUGGGUAUGGAAGUGCAGUUUGCCAGCGAGGAACAGACUGUUCAGGAGCCUAAGGAAACAGGUAAAAUUUACUAUCACAGUUUAGUUAGUAGAGAUAAUGGAAUAAAACGUUGCAGCACCAGCCAUAAUGAAACCAUGUAGCUCGUUAUCUUGCUGCCUUCAGCUAAAAUAAAACAUUGUAAUUCCUAACUACACGUCCCUUUAGAGGCAAACUCAUGGUUUAAGGGUGGGUCUGCUGUUGUUGCUAAAAAAGAAUGUCUUAUAUUUGUAUUUACCUAGGGAUCGAUUCAGGGCUUUAAUCUACUCACAAAUAAUGACUAUUUUAGAAAUGUGAUUUUGUAUAAAAAUGCUGAAAGCACACUACUUCAAAGAUUGCACUGUAAGGCGUUUGUUGAACUGAAACAGACAGAUAAUAAACCUGCUUCAAGACA